rnacentral:rRNA from 1 species
AGUGAACGCUGGCGGUAGGCCUAACACAUGCAAGUCGAACGGCAGCACAGUAAGAGCUUGCUCUUACGGGUGGCGAGUGGCGGACGGGUGAGGAAUACAUCGGAAUCUACUUUUUCGUGGGGGAUAACGUAGGGAAACUUACGCUAAUACCGCAUACGACCUACGGGUGAAAGCAGGGGAUCUUCUGACCUUGCGCGAUUGAAUGAGCCGAUGUCGGAUUAGCUAGUUGGCGGGGUAAAGGCCCACCAAGGCGACGAUCCGUAGCUGGUCUGAGAGGAUGAUAAGCAACACUGGAACUGAGACACGGUCCAGACUCCUACGGGAGGCAGCAGUGGGGAAUAUUGGACAAUGGGCGCAAGCCUGAUCCAGCCAUACCGCGUGGGUGAAGAAGGCCUUCGGGUUGUAAAGCCCUUUUGUUGGGAAAGAAAAGCAGCAGGUUAAUACCCCGCUGUUCUGACGGUACCCAAAGAAUAAGCACCGGCUAACUUCGUG